CGUCAGCUCGUGUCGUGAGAUGUUGGGUUAAGUCCGUAACGAGCGCAACCCUUGUCCUUAGUUACCAGCACGUUAUGGUGGGCACUCUAAGGAGACUGCCGGUGACAAACCGGAGGAAGGUAGGGGGAGUGACGUCAAGUCAUCAUGGCCCUUACGGCCUGGGCUACACACGUGCUACAAUGGUCGGUACAAAGGGUUGCCAAGCCGCGAGGUGGAGCUAAUCCCAUAAAACCGAUCGUAGUCCGGAUCGCAGUCUGCAACUCGACUGCGUGAAGUCGGAAUCGCUAGUAAUCGUGAAUCAGAAUGUCACGGUGAAUACGUUCCCGGGCCUU
rnacentral:rRNA from 1 species